UACGUAGGGGCCUAGCGUUGUCCGGAUUUAUUGGGCGUAAAGAGCUCGUAGGCGGUUCGGUAAGUCAGGUGUGAAAUCUCCACGCUCAACGUGGAGGCGCCACCUGAAACUGCCGUGACUCGAGUCCGGUAGGGGAGUGUGGAAUUCCUGGUGUAGCGGUGAAAUGCGCAGAUAUCAGGAGGAACACCGGUGGCGAAGGCGGGCA
rnacentral:rRNA from 1 species